GACGAACGCUGGCGGCGUGCUUAACACAUGCAAGUCGAACGGAAAGGCCCUGCUUUUGUGGGGUGCUCGAGUGGCGAACGGGUGAGUAACACGUGAGUAACCUGCCCUUGACUUUGGGAUAACUUCAGGUAACUGGGGCUAAUACCGGAUAGGAGCUCCUGCUGCAUGGUGGGGGUUGGAAAGUUUCGGCGGUUGGGGAUGGACUCGCGGCUUAUCAGCUUGUUGGUGGGGUAGUGGCUUACCAAGGCUUUGACGGGUAGCCGGCCUGAGAGGGUGACCGGCCACAUUGGGACUGAGAGACGGCCCAGACUCCUACGGGAGGCAGCAGUGGGGAAUAUUGCACAAUGGGCGGAAGCCUGAUGCAGCAACGCCGCGUGCGGGAUGACGGCUUUCGGGUUGUAAACCGCUUUCGCCUGUGACGAAGCGUGAGUGACGGUAAUGGGUAAAGAAGCACCGGCUAACUACGUG
rnacentral:rRNA from 1 species